GACAGAGGCCUCAAGCGUUAGGCGGAAUCACUGGGCUUAAAGCGUGUGUAGGCGGGUCGUUAAGUACCUUGUGAAAUCCCACGGCUCACCCGUGGAACUGCUGGGUAUGCUGGCGAUCUUGGGCCAACUAGGGGCAACUGGAACAAGCGGUGGAGCGGUGAAAUGCGUAGAUAUCAGGAGGAACACCGGUGGCGAAGGCGGCACUCUGGGCCGGUACUGACGCUGAGGAGCGAAAGCGUGGGGAGCAAACAGG
rnacentral:rRNA from 1 species